CUUUUUAGGUUGUUGGUGCUAUUGUUAAUUUCUUGGUUUUUUUCUUCUGCGAAGAUCGAUCGGUGGAUGAUGGACACUCGGCAAUCUGGAAAUGGCGGUGGUAAAGAGAAAAAGAAAGAGGAAAAGCAGAGUAUCGCCAAAGGGUGAGCGACGGAUGGAACGAGACGUUUCUGAAAUGUUCUGAGUUUGGUGCUCCAAGUGUCCAAAAAGCACUGUUUUCUGCAACGUGAAUUAAUGGCGUUUUACGGUUUCGGAGCGUCCGUCUUUCUCAGACCAAAUACUGUUUGGCGGGAAAAGAAGCAGAAACGUCAAUUUUAUAUUUUCCCGGCGAAAACGCUUUGAACCCGGCGGAUGGAAAAAGUAAUUCUCACUCCGUUGCAUCUAUGGUUUAAGCCUUUUUUCACUCACUGGAAUAAGUAUGGGA